GGGGCUAACUUUGGUUGCUAGAGAAAGACACGAAGCAGGAGAGCAAGAGUCAUGAUGAGAAGAUGACUUGAGCAUGCAGAGGCUCAGCUUGGCAGCUUCAGCUCCAAUCUACACAGAAGAAAUCCCAGCACUAGCUAUUUGCAGACACUGUGCAGCCUGCUGCUCUUGGCAGAUUGAACACACACAAGGUCCAGAUGCUUGAGGAUUAGGAUCUUGUCUGGCUCUGUACGUAGUUCUAAGAAUCACUUCAUAUUCUUAAGUCACCUGAGAAAGGCAAGUAACACACUGGCCAGACAUUAUACAGCCUCACUUUGGUCUUUCUUAUCUCUCCCCACCAUAGCAAUCCAAAGCUUCCAUCUUUCUAGUUGCCAUGGAUGGCAAAUGCAAGCAACUAAAGUCUCCUGUGGUGGCUCGGAGAAUUGGGCAAAAGGAAGAAGUUUUGGUUCUUGAAACUCAGAUAUUGUAGUCACCAAAGUUUUUCCUGCUGAAAUCCUCCUGGAAAAUCCAUUUGUUUCCUUCAAAUGUUAUGGAAGAAAGUGAGAACUCUUGCAGCUGGCACUUGAAAACCAAAUAUUUGUCAUAUGUAGGCUAAGUCCUUUCUUCAUUAUCCUCAGGAAAAUUGCAUUCAACUGCAGAAAGCACUCACCUACUUUAACUGGCUGAAACAUUGCCCCAGGACUGCCAGUCUGCCAACUAUAUUCACACACUUUACUUUUGAUGUAACUUUCACAUGUGUACAGUAAAAUUGCAUUUGCAACAUUUCACUAGGCAACUUAAGCCAUGCCAUGCUUAAAUUCAUCC